UACAGAGGUCUCAAGCGUUGUUCGGAUUCAUUGGGCGUAAAGCGCGUGUAGGCUGUUAAUUAAGUCGGGUGUGAAAUCCCUGGGCUCAACCGAGGAAGUGCAUCCGAAACUAAUUAGCUAGAAGAUGGUAGAGGAAGGUGGAAUUCCAAGUGUAGAGGUGAAAUUCGUAGAUAUCGGGAGGAACACCAGUGGCGAAGGCGGCGAUCUGGGAAGAUACUGACGCUGAGGUGCGAAAGCGUGGGGAGCGAACAGG
rnacentral:rRNA from 1 species